AGAGUUUGAUCCUGGCUCAGAUUGAACGCUGGCGGCAUGCCUUACACAUGCAAGUCGAACGGCAGCACGGGUGCUUGCACCUGGUGGCGAGUGGCGAACGGGUGAGUAAUACAUCGGAACGUACCUUAUCGUGGGGGAUAACGCAGCGAAAGCUGUGCUAAUACCGCAUACGCCCUGAGGGGGAAAGCGGGGGAUCGAAAGACCUCGCGCGAUUAGAGCGGCCGAUGCCUGAUUAGCUUGUUGGUGGGGUAAAAGCCCACCAAGGCGACGAUCAGUAGCUGGUCUGAGAGGACGAUCAGCCACACUGGGACUGAGACACGGCCCAGACUCCUACGGGAGGCAGCAGUGGGGAAUUUUGGACAAUGGGGGCAACCCUGAUCCAGCAAUGCCGCGUGAGUGAAGAAGGCCUUCGGGUUGUAAAGCUCUUUUGUCAGGGAAGAAACACCGGCUCUAACACAGUCCGGGAAUGACGGUACCUGAAGAAUAAGCACCGGCUAACUACGUGCCAGCAGCCGCGGUAAUACGUAGGGUGCGAGCGUUAAUCGGAAUUACUGGGCGUAAAGCGUGCGCAGGCGGUUAUACAAGACAGGCGUGAAAUCCCCGGGCUUAACCUGGGAAUGGCGCCUGUGACUGUAUAGCUAGAGUGUGUCAGAGGGGGGUAGAAUUCCACGUGUAGCAGUGAAAUGCGUAGAUAUGUGGAGGAAUACCAAUGGCGAAGGCAGCCCCCUGGGAUAACACUGACGCUCAUGCACGAAAGCGUGGGGAGCAAACAGGAUUAGAUACCCUGGUAGUCCACGCCCUAAACGAUGCUGACUAGUUGUUCGGGAUUUACAUCCUGAGUAACGUAGCUAACGCGUGAAGUCAGCCGCCUGGGGAGUACGGUCGCAAGAUUAAAACUCAAAGGAAUUGACGGG
rnacentral:rRNA from 1 species